rnacentral:rRNA from 1 species
GACGAACGCUUGCGGCGUGCCUAAGAAAUGCAAGUCGAGCGAGGUUUAGGCUUCGGCCAAAACCUAGCGGCGAACGGUCGCGUAACACGUAAGCAACCUGCCCUGAAGUGGGGGAUAGCCCUCCGAAAGGAGGAUUAAUACCGCAUGUGGACACCAGAUCGCAUGUUUUGGUGUCUGAAGCAGCAAUGCGCUUCAGGAUGGGCUUGCGGCCUAUCAGCUAGUUGGUGGGGUAACGGCCUACCAAGGCGACGACGGGUAGCUGGUCUGAGAGGAUGGUCAGCCGGACUGGGACUGAGAUACGGCCCAGACUCCUACGGGAGGCUG